GCCGGGCGGCGCGCUGGGUUUCUCCUCCUGGCCGUGCCGUGCGAUCGGCUCCCGUGCGGUCCGGGGCCUCCCGGGGACGGCGCGGCUUACGUACGGGACGGUGCCGGAGGGCCGGGAUCGGCGGCAGCGGGAUGGCACUUAGUUCUCUGAGAUGUGCUAUGGAAAUGAUGAGAGCGACUUCUGAGGCUGUAAGCGGUGGCUGAUGAGAGAAGCUAAAGAGAAGAUCCUCAAAAUUGGACUGGCUGAUAUGGAAUGAAGGGGCAUUUCAUAGCAAAUGGAUGAAGGACUCUGUGUCCUGGGACAAAACCAGCGCCAAACGUCUGAGUAAUUCAGCAGAACCGCAGGCUGUGGAGCUUGCAGUGCCUUCAGCGAUGGAGCAGUGCAGGAUGCUGGGCUCGGAUCCUAAAGCAAACCCACGUGAACAGAAACAUGAGCUCCACACGCAGCGUAGUUUAUUCAGCCAGGCUGGUUGUACUUGUGAGUGGACGGAUGCUUAAAGGAGGUGGAAGCUCUGCAGCUCUGACAGAUGGCCCAGGAAACCUUACUGUCAUCAAAGCUGUGGUAAUGUACAUCAACAGAAGGGGAAUAGACAAAGGAAAUGUGCUGUUACAAAGAGCCAGCUUUGGUUUAUGCCGUAUCUGUGAGUAUCCUGUACAGUGCUUUUGUAGCUGUGUUACCGAGACCAGAAGUCUUUUUUUCUACCUAAACUCAUAAAUGAACUUGAAUUUGCUUACAUGCUGGAGGAGGAAUUUGUGGGUUUUUUCUAACAGCAGUAUUAAAAAUACACAGAGUUUGUAUAAUAGCAAUCAUCACUGAGAUAGUGGGAUAAAUAGUUGUGGGUUGAUCCUGUGUUGCUUCUACAUGUACAGGAUGUUUUUCAAAUGAAGAUUGGCAUCUGAUAGAUUCCAGCAAUGUCUCUUCUUUCUGUUCCUUUCUUUAUUCAGACACUUAAUCGCUCUCAAUCUGUCAGGCUUCCCCUGCCUCAUUUCUGAUCUUCGCCUCAGCGAGCAGCUUUCUACCUCAGAGUCUUUUUAUUUCCUGAAAACUCCUCAGGUGUGGCACUCUGAAUCUGCACGCUGUGGUAUUCUUGAGCAACUCCAUCCUGUAGAGGACUGGAGGGGGAGCUUUUCUUCACACCUUGCUGUGUAUGAAACUUGAACUACACUCGAGAAGGGCAGAAAUGUAGCUGACCAGAGCCUCCAACAGCUCAGCCUUUUCCUUCAAACUAUGAAGAAGGCUUUAAUAUUCGUAAGUCAGAAAUCUCGUGUCAAAACUUAAUUCUCGUAUAGACACAGCCUUGCUCUGGGGGACCGUUGCAGGUGUGGUCUUUGAGUCAUCAUAGGUUAGGACACGUGAAGUAAUCUGAACGUGUUUCAAUUGCUGUGUAUUUUUCCCCGUUUCUCUGAUCAUUUCUCUGUAUUGCUGCAUCUGGCAGGGAUUGCUGUCCUGGCCCAGAGCUCUAUUCCCUCAUGGGCUGCACUUGUUUUGCUAUCCCACCAUUUGGGUUGCACAGGCCAUCCACGGCCAGUGUUCCCAUCCUCCUGGGCCUCCACACACAUGGCAGUUAGCAAGAAAGAGCAAAGUUGUUCAACCUUGUCCUAAAGUUAUCAAUCUGUUCAUCCAACCUGUGCCUUGGUCACAGUGGCAACGUGCCGUUAGCAAUGCCAUCACUGCACUCAGGUCACAAGCUCUGACAGCAGGCACUGGGGAUAAUUUCAGGUGAGGCCGUUCUUCACAUCCAGGCACACAGAUGGUAUCUUUUUCCAAAUGGACCGUGGUGGUUGGCAGGUAAAUCCAGUCGUGCAGGAUCUGCAAAAUAAAAUUAUGUACUACGUACAUAUUUCUCCAGAGCGGUGGUGAUCUGAGGUGGGGCUCCGUUUCUCAUAACUGUUUUUAAAACUGGCAAUAUCAGUAAUAGUUCUGUUAUGGGUUGAAUAAUUAAAUCUUGUUCACCGUUGCUGAACAGAAUUUGAUUUAUCCUUGAUAAUCUGCAUCCAUUA